AGCGAACGCUGGCGGCAGGCUUAACACAUGCAAGUCGAGCGGGCAUCUUCGGAUGUCAGCGGCAGACGGGUGAGUAACACGUGGGAACGUACCCUUCGGUUCGGAACAACUCUGGGAAACUGGAGCUAAUACCGGAUACGCCCUUAUGGGGAAAGGUUUACUGCCGAAGGAUCGGCCCGCGUCUGAUUAGCUAGUUGGUGGGGUAACGGCCUACCAAGGCGACGAUCAGUAGCUGGUCUGAGAGGAUGACCAGCCACACUGGGACUGAGACACGGCCCAGACUCCUACGGGAGGCAGCAGUGGGGAAUAUUGGACAAUGGGCGCAAGCCUGAUCCAGCCAUGCCGCGUGAGUGAUGAAGGCCUUAGGGUUGUAAAGCUCUUUUGUCCGGGACGAUAAUGACGGUACCGGAAGAAUAAGCCCCGGCUAACUUCGUG
rnacentral:rRNA from 1 species